AGCACUUGUGAAGAUGAUGCAGAAGGGUUGCUGUGAGGACAAGGCUGUCAGGGCUGUCGAGCUACAUGCUGCUCAAAGUUGGCUUCUCCCCGAGUCCUUGUUCAACUCCCCACUGGCCGGGGCACACAGAAACAAAGGCAAGCCUGCUGGGCUCAAGCUAGACCAGACCCUACCCUUCUGAAGCAAGGGUCAGAAAAUGCAGCUCAAGCCUGUGGCAAUGGCUCUGAUGUUGCCAUCUGCAUGGUCUUCUAGAUCAAGAAGACGCUAGGACCAGCAGGGCCUGAAAAUGAAAUCCCCAAACACAUCUUAGCACCUUGUGAAAAUUGACAGGCCACAUCUGUAAGACUUUGAUGAUAAUUUCACACCUGGCCUCGUAUGUGACAAAGAUGAUCAGUGUCAUCUGCAGGACAAUGAAGAUCAUGCCUCUUCGGUUCUCAUCUGUAACACAGUGAUGAUCAUGUCUCACCAGGCCUUAUCUGUCACAUUGAUGAUCAUGUCUUACCAGAUCCCAUCUGUAACACAAUAAUAAUCAAAUCUCCCCAUUCCUUACCAGUAGUACAAUGUUGAUCCUGUUUCCCCAGGCCACAACUGUAAUACAAGGAUUAUCAUGUCUCCAAAAGCGACAUCUGUAAGACAUUGAGGGUCAUGUCUCACCUGACUUCAUUUGUAACAAUGUUGAUAAUGUCUUCAUAGGCCCCAUCUGUAAGAAAAUCAUGAUCAAGUCAUCUUCCCAGGCCUCAUAUAUAGCAAAAUGAUGAUAAUGUCUUUGGAGGUCUUAUCUUUAACACAAGGAAGAUUAAAUCUUCCCAGAACUCAUCUGUAACACAUUGUUCAUCAUGUCUCACCAGGCCUCAUGUGUAAGAAUGAGGAUCAUGUCUCUGCAGGCCUAACUUGUAACACAAUGAUCAUCAUGUAUCUGAAGGCCUUAUCUGUAACACAAUGAUGAUCAUAUCUCCCCACGAAUCAGCUACAACACAAUGAUGAUUAUGUCUCCCCAGGCCUCAUCUGGAACAGAGUAAUGAUCAUGUCUCCAGAGGCUUCAUCUGUAAUGCAAUGAUGAGCAAGCCUUCUGAUUCCUUAUCUGAACUACAAUGACAAUAAUGCCUUUGGGGGCCACAUCUUUAAUAUAAUGAAGAUCAUAUCUCCCCAUGGCCUCAUCGUAACACAAAGAUGGUCAUGUCUCCCCUUGCCUCAUCUGCAACACAAUGGUGAUCAUGUCUCCUCAGGUCUCAUGUGUCACACAAUCAUGAUCAUAUCUCCUCAGGCCACAUCUGUAAGACAUCAAUGAUCAAGUCUCCCAAGGCUGCCUCUGUAACACAAGGUUGGUCAUGUGACCCUAGGACUCAUGAGUAACACAAUGAUGAUCAAGUCAUCUCCCCAAGCCUCAGCUAAGCACAAUGAUGAUCAUAUCAUCACAGAUCUCAUUUGUAGCACAAUAAUGACCAUAUAUCCACCAACCUCAUCUGUAACACAUUGAUGGUCAUGUAUCAUCAGGCCUCAUCUAUAACAAAAUAAUGAUCAAGUCUCCCCAGGCUUCACCGGUAACACAGUCAUAAUUAUGUAUCCCCAGGCUUCAAUUGUAACACAACAAUAAUCAUGUCUCCCCAGGAUAUAUCUGUAAUGCAUUGAUGGUCAUGUCUAACCAACCCUCAGAUAUAACACAAUGAUGAUCAUGUCUACCCAGACUUCCUAUGUAAAAUAAUGAUGAUCAAGUCUCCCAAGGCCUCUUCUAUAAGACAAUGUUGAUCAUGUCUCUCCAAGGACUCAUCUGUAACACAAGGUUGAUCAUGUCACCCCAGGACUCAUGUGAAACACAAUGAUGGUCAAAUCAUCUCCCCAAGCCUGAUCUGUAGCACAAUCAUGAUCAUGGAAUUACAGGACUUAGCUGUAGCACAAUAAUAUCAUGACUCCCAGGCCUCCUCUGUAACAUAAUGCUGAUCAUGUAUCCCCGGGCCUCAUCUGUAACACAAUGAGGAUCAUAGCUCCCCAGGUAUCAUCUGUAAUGCAAUGAUUAUUGUCGGGGGGCCAUUGGGCUGGCCUUGAAUCCAUAGCACUGGGCUGUGUAGCAACAAGACUUUUGCACCUGCAAGUGAGCAAGACUGUGUACAUUCAGUGUUACUGGCAAGAGCUGACUGUUCCUUGAACCUUUAUGCUUGUACUGCUGAGAACAGAUGGUAUAUUUCUCUCCCAACCUUGGAAUAAUCUUUUGUACUGAGAAGUGGUCAAGGUGCGUAAGUCUGUAAUAGAAAGAAGUUAUUUUCAUAGAAACUUGUGUGAAGGUCAUGGAAUUUUUGUACAUGGGCAAAUUGUUUGCAAGGACAUAUUAAACAGGACUGCUGAUUCUCACAUGUUCACUUGAUUGUGCAAACACCCACAAGCACAGGUAGUCAUAAUUUUCAUAAAUAGAAAAUCAGAAAUAUUUAGGUCUUAGAAAAAAUUUUUGGGCCUCUAAUGCUCAGAGCUAAGAAUGUCCUUGAAUCGAACUGGAUUGUUUAUCUGGGAGGAUGUCUGAUGUCCUCAGGCCUCUCAUUUUAGACAUCAGGAAAUGGAUACCAAGAAAGGUCAAGUGAGUUGCCCAGGGUUGUAAAAGGGAAGAACUUUAAACAGCUUGAUGUCCAAGGGAGCCACCCAGCUCAGCCCAAAAUAAAACUGGUUUUCUAUCCCACACGGUCAGUGGAGAUGGUAGAGCAAGUCUAAGCCAGGCCUGGCAGUGCAGACCUACAAUCCCUGCUACAUGGGAGGCUGAGGCAAGAAGACCAUAAGUUCAAGGCCUGGCUAGGCUACAAGUGAAUUCAAGGCCAGCCUGGGCAACUUAAUGAAACCCUGUCUCAAGAGUAAAAAGAGGGCUGUGGACAUAACUUUGUGGUGGAGUGCUUGCCUAGCGUGCUUGAAGCUGUAGGUUCAAUUCCUAGUGUGCCCCUUCUUCCUAGAAAGUGAAAGUCAAUGGCGCACUGGUUGAAAUUGCCUUCAUUGCGAGGCCUCCCUGUAGCUGCCUGGCACAAUGCUCACAGCAAGAAGGAUGUCUCACAGACAGUGAAAUGGCCCUGAAAACCAGAGAACAACCCCAGGCAUGACUUGAUAAUUUAUAUUUGGGUGAUUUUUGUGUACCUAAGCUUCUGUAGUGUGUGUGGUGAAACAGCACAGCAUUUUGUCAUGGAGUCCGAAAGCGCCUCCACAGAUAAAGUGCCUGCUUUAU